CCCCACAUCCAAACAAGUAAAUUAAUAUUCUCUCUCUUUCAUAUAACAUUUAGAUAAAGUAACAUAAUAUCUGAGAUUUCUUUGCAAAUUUUCUGGCAGAGAGGGAAGAAAUGGAGAAGAGGAUAUUGGCUGAAAUUAAGUUAUAGGAUUAUUAUGAAGUCUUCCUAUAUUUUUGAAAUUUCCCAUAUUUUAAAAAAGGCAUUAUUUCCCAAAGGCCUUGAGUUUCAUGAAGAGAGUAAUUUUAUUAUGGCAAUUUUCCUCAAAGCAUAAAGAAACCAAUAAAAAAAAUACCAAAAGCAAAGAGUGCCCUAUACUUUGAUAUUACUUAAGUUUCCUAUUUUUGUUCCAAAAAAGCCAAUAAAAUUAGCUUCGGCAAAGAUGCAGAAGGGUGUUUCAGUGAUUGAGAUGUGCUGUGGAUGUCCACCAUGCUGAACUUCCUUUCAAGGCAUUUUGCAAACCGCAAGUCCAACACAAUCAUUAGUUUCAUAUUACAACUUAGCUGUAUUCAUCAACAUUCUAACUUCCAAAGUAUUAAAGAAGCACCUCCUACAUAACAAGGCCCCAGUGCUUCUCCUCUCUCCAGUGAAUACCAACACGGAGUUAGGAGACUGCCCCAUGUGAGGGAGGACAUGACUUCCAAAGGCUCUACAUCAAGGCAUGUGUCAUUCACACUCAUCCAGGAGCAGGUACUGUCAUCUUCCUUCCUGCUAAGAAGUUGCAAAAGCAGUGAAGAGACUGAGUCAGGCUGAACUCCAUAAGGGUGAAUAUCAAUGACAAUGGCCAGCGCCUCCCACCUUCAGUCUCUGGCAAGUUUUGAUAUAAUUAAGAGGUUGAGAUGUAGACAAGCUUAACCAUCCUGUGGCUGGGCACUCUAUCUUCCUAAGAGCAACACAUGUCAGCAGCCAAAGAGACAAUGAAAAAGAGUUUCCCUGAAUAGUUUAAAAUAGUGAAGUUAAUUAGCCAUCAAAUUAGUAAGCAGGGUGUUCCCAAUAAGAAAUGAAAGAAAUAAAAAUGUAUGCUUCGAAAAUGUACUAGAAAAAUAGAAACAUAGCAUUCAUUAUGAAUACUUGCAUAUAAUGGCACAAUAUAGGUCAAAAAACAAUGGUGAGUAGACAAGGCAAAUGGCGAAUGAAAAUCCACUGCACAGCACAGUUCCCAAGAAAUGCCAAGAAGACAAUGACACAGCAUCCGUUUGUCUUUAUAAUGAUAAAAAUGUAUACUAGAGGUGAGUCUUUAAUUUGGAUGAGAGAAUGAAUGCUGAUUUUAGGAAGGGGGAAAAAUAGGAAAUGGGUGUUUUAUCUGUAUCUACAAUAUUUUGUUAUUUUAAAGAUUUCAAGAAAAGAUAAAUUUUUUAGUUUUUAUUGACUGUAUGUUGGAAUUAUCACGGUGCCUCAGCAUUUUCUCUGUUUGCAUAUGGGAAUUAUGUUUUCAUUUAAAAAGUAUAAUGAAUGAAUAGUAGAGUCAAAGAGACUUGUAAAAGAAUUUUCACUGAAUAGUGUUCCCUUAAGAAAACAGGGCAUCUGGGUGACUCAUAAACUCAGUAAGAAAGGAAGAGAUAACAGGUGAGAAAAACUAUCCAUGGGAUGAUUUCUUCAGGUUACACAGCUAACAACUGACAAGAGUCCAGCCUCAGCCAGCUCCUUUCCAAAGCUACCACAAUGUUUACUAGAGUACUUGCAGACUUAUGGCCCAAGUUGAGACAACCUGCUUCAGAUCAGACCUUUUGGGCAAAAUUAUUAUUCAAUAUAGCUCUCAAUCCAAAAUAUCACUAUUAUACAGUUCAUUUCCAUGAAAUCCCAGUAAAAGCAACUUUCCAGAAGGGGGAAACACCUAGGCAGUUAUUAGCAUGAACGCUUUCCCUUUUUUGGAUUACUUUGCGGUAUUCUAGAGAGAAGGUUUUAAUGAAUAUGCAGCCCUGACAGAGAGUUCCUGUCUUGUCAUACAUAGAUUGUCAUGUCAAUUCUCAAUCUUAGACAUCCAUCUUCAGAACAUCCAGAAUGGUUCUCACUUUAUUAAAGCUUAGGCAAUUUCUGACAUUCUUUAAACCUAUUCCAGGAGGUCAGAGAAAGACACGAACUGAUGCUUUGGUGACCUUUGAAUUAUUCAUAAAAGCUUCCACAAGCAUACAUUUCACUACAUGACAACUGUGAACUCAUUCAUCAAUGUUCCAGAAUAAAUACCUUCUAAGUAAGACCUACCCAAGCAUCAGCCCUGCAAUCUCCUUCUACUAGGCAAGUCCAUGAGGAUGAAGGAAUCAGAGCUAGAUGGAUCACAAGAAAAAGCAAAUUUGCAAUAUAAAUUUAAAUGCAAAUGCAAAAAGUAAAUUUAAAAUAAUCCCCUCUACCCCACUUCUGUGGAGUAAUUUCAUAGUUAUCUGUCUCGUAUUUAUUUAAACUAUUCUUCUAUAUCCAGAAAGAAAAUAACAAAAAUAAGAUAAAAACAAAUAAAACAUUUUGUCUCUAUUUUCCUUUCAGACCCAAAGCCUAGGAACCAAAAUCUCCCUCACAUUAACUAAAAACUAUUGCUUUUAUUUUUAUGUUGCUAAUUGAUUAAUUCAUUCAUGGAGCAAAUAUCUGACUGAUUACUCUGUGGCAGGCUCUGUUCAGGGUUCUUUGCUAUAUCAUUUAAUAAUAUAAAAAUCUGUACUCAGGGGAGCUAACAUUCCAGCUGUAAUAAGCAAAGAAAGUCAUUUGAUGGGAAGUAAGAAGACAGACAGUUGUACAUGCAGUCUGCUGAUGAGAGCCUCCACACAGCCAGAGCCACAGAAUGAUUGGUCUUGGUGUUAUUUAACAACAUUUAGCAUCUAUCUCCAUGAUUCAAUUAAAAUUACCAUUAGGAAGAUGUUAUUACUUUCUUCCUAACUGACAAAUCCAAGCAAGCUUUUCUUCCUCUUGAUGUCUAUCACCAUGUCAAGGAAGCUUAUGAUCCUGAUUUUCUAACCCCACUUUUGAGGAGGCAUGAACUGUUUAACCUUGCUCCAGUGGGCUCUGGCUAUAAAGAUAGAUUGUAUCCUCUGUCAGCUGCUUUUCAUAUCUCUUUUGUGUGGAUUAAACUCCCAGUGCUAUUAGACAAAUUGUCCAGGACCUACCAUGGUGACUGUUCCACUUAAGUUUCUGUUUCUGUUAUAAACACCAUCGGAAAAGCAAUUUAUAAAGGAAAGUGUUUAUUUUAUCUUACAGUUUGCAGUCCAUCAUGAAGGAAGCCAGAGCAGGAACUCAAGACAGGAAUCCAGAGGCAGAAACUGAAGCAAAGACCAUAGAAGCUCACUGGCUUGCUCUCCAUGACUCCAGAAGAGGAUAUUGGAUUCCCUAGACCUGGAGGUCCAAGCCUGGAGGUCCAGCCCUAACCUGGGUGCUGGGAACAGAACUCGGGUCUUCUAAGAACAGCAAGUACUGUUAACUGCUGAGUCAUCUGUUAAACUCCUAGAAUAAGUUUCUUAAAAACAGGCAACACAAUGAGCAAAAGGCAGUACACAAAAGUCGACCUGUCAAGAAAUGGUUUACUUCAGUGAUGGACCAGCACUGCAGGAGACUCAUUCCACUUCCACCAAGACAGCCCUUUGUACAACAAGAAGAAACCAUUAAGGGCUUAAUGGCACUGUGGUGAUGCAUUAGAUGCUGAAAGAGAAACAGGGAUAUUCUGUUUGCCCAGUUGCCAGUUUCUAUCACAACUACCACGACUCACCAUCUGCAUGAUUCCUCAAGUACUUGACAAAGGAGUUUUUCUAACUUUAGCCCUGCCUACUCAGCCUUUAUUUAUUUAUUUCAAGACAUUGACAAAUCUAGCUGUUGUGAAAACCUGUCCUUUAGGCAUGCCAUAGUGAUACUGUCUUGCCACCGUGAUGUCAGAGAGGCUUAGAUUACCCAUCCACAGAGACUCGAACAAUGUCACAAAAUCAGGUCUGUUGAUGUUUUCCUGAAAGAGAUCUGAGAUGGCUCAUGAGGCAUAAGAGGUCCCUCACUUCCCUAAGGAUAUAUAAGCCAGAUGACAAUUGCUAAAGAGGGGCAGUCUUCUUUGGCCCUGUAGCUACCUAUAAGUGUCCAUGCACCUAUAAAUAACCCAAUUAAAUUCUUUGCCUUACCAAGCUAGA